rnacentral:misc_RNA from 1 species
UGCGUUCGCUCGGUUAGGAUGCACACGGUAAGGGGCGUAUGCCGGCCGGUGGAUGCAAUACACCGCGGGGGAGAGUGUGUGUGUGCCAUGACAAUGCCGUGGCCGGUGACUUAGUGUGCAUACACGUCUGUCCCCUCCCGCCACACCGCCACACCUUCCCAUUCAUACACAUGCAUGCUCUAUUCAUAAGUGUCUGUGUGUGCCUUGCGCCGUGCUUCGUCAGCUCCUUUUCCCUCGCUUGUGGGGCCUCGUCUGCCCACCCCGCGCUCUCCAGCCUCCACGACGCUUUCUUUCUCACAUACAUCUUCACGCCUCCCUCCUCCCGCCAGUUGACUGUGGUUGUCGUUAUAGGGGAGGGAGGAGGGAGAGGCUCAUUGAGCUUCUCGUGCUUCUGCGUGCAGUCGGCCAGCUAGCCACGAUCGAAGAGGCCCGCUACCACACUAGGAUGCAGGUGCCCAAGCGGCGCCCAUUCGUAUUGAGAAGCGGGAGACCUGAGGGAGGAGAGAGAGAGAGAGCAGCCACGAAAAAAAAAGCGCGCUGAUUUCGUUACAUCUUCGCUGUGCAGGUCUGUGCGCUCGUGUGCUGCGCGUCGCUUUAGAGGCACACAGCGACAUGCCUGUGUCCGGGUGUGUGCGUGCCUCUCUCUGUGUUUCCAGACGGACCACUAGCUCCUCUUGCGGGGUGCCGCCGCAAGACUGCGGCCUCGCCGUCUUGUAGAUGAUUUUCUCACCCUUUCCCUCAUGCCGCGUGCUUGAGCCACAGCUCAGCGCCGGCACAUCCGGCAUGCCUGGCUUCCCCCGCUCUGUGUUUUGCGUUAGUCUCGACGUAUCCUAAUCUUGCUCUCUGCUCUUUGCCAUGUGCUUGCGUUGGCAUGUAG